UCUGAGUAUUUUGCAGUCCACCAUGAUGUACCUACGCACUCAGGACAACUUUGCAACAAAAAGAGUUCUUCUACAGUGCUUUGGGAACCUUCUGAUGAGCCUGAUGCAGACUGGCAGGGAGAUCUCUGAUGAAAACUUCUUCCUAGUGAAGGAAUACUUCCAGCUUCCCCUUGAGAAUAUUAAGGCUGUACUCAUGGCUAUGAACGUAAAAGCAGGGCGACAA